ensembl:lncRNA
AUGACAAGAUGUGUGCAGUCCAGCAAAAGUUGUACGCUCCGUUUCGGUCCUAUAGUGUCACACGCUCUGUCGGUCUGGAGAGCAGCAGAAAAAGCUUGUAAUAUUCUUUCUAAUUGGAAUUCCUACUCUCCUAUCUUUAAUAAUGAUGGUUUACUAAUUGGUAAGCACCCAAUAAAGUUUGGCCAGUGUCGACAGUGGUUCGACAAAGGAAUUCACUUCUUGGGUGACGUAAUGGGUGAUAAAGGCCUUCACUCCUUUGAAGAACUUUCCAUUCAGUUUAACCUUCAGAGCUCUACCUUUUUUUUUUACUUACAGUUGAGGGCAGCCAUGAAGGCUUAUGGGGUUCCUUGGUUGGCUCCUCUUAAAGAUCACCCUUUACUUAAAGUGUUACGUGAGACUCGGGGAACAAGAGGUUUGGUUUCUAAAUUAUAUAAUUUUUUUCUGGAAAAACUGCAUCCCCCUCUGACAAUAGACUAUUCAUGGCGGGCAGAUAUUCCAGACCUUUCCCCUGGUUUUGAUUGGGACAGUGUUUGGGUGAUGGUAAUGCAUGCCUCAAGGAAUCCGGAUCAUCAACAAAUCCAUUUUAAUUUUAUUCAUAGGACUUAUAUGUCUCCACGUAAACUCUACAGUAUGAAGCUUAAAGCUGAUCCUAAUUGCACACUGUGCCAUACAGGGGAAAUUGGUACUUUUUUUCACAUGAUCUGGGAAUGCCCUGGGGUUGCUUACUUUUGGAAUAUGGUUAAAGAAAGUUUGUCCACUUUGUUGAAUGUUUCGGCCCCUUUGUCCCCAUCUGUUUUUAUUUUAGAUGAUCAACUUAACAAAACUCAGAAACUAGUGUUUUUAGCUUGUUUGACAGCCGCUAAGAAAAUAGUAGCAAAGAGAUGGAAACCUCCACAUUCUCUUAAUAAGCAGUAUUGGGUUCUCACAUUUAUGGAUGUGGUGUAUCUCGAAUUGUCCACUGCACGCGUGGCGCAAGAGAGGACACCAUUAGACUCUGGGCCCAAACAUUGGAAAAACUCAAGGGUUUACUGA